GAGCUGCCCCUCUGCCAGCACCCUCCGCCCACGCCGGCACUGUACUUGAUGGCAGCGUCCCAGGGCUAGGGGCCUGCGCGCCAGCAGGAGCGAAGUUACCCCAAAACGCCCCGGCCUCAGCCCGCCAGGGAGGGCUCCGAGGAGGCGCCGGGAGUGGGCCCGGUAGGACCCUCUCUGCCAGCCGCCGUCCCUCCCCAAGCGCUCUCCCGAGCUGCGGCUCCAUCCCUGCGCUGGAAGAGGCGUCCGGAGGCCGGGAGGCCAGCCACGCCGGCGCAGGCGCUGAGCCCAGAGUCUGGCGCGCCCGGACGCCCGGGGAAUCUCUCCCGCCAAGUCGCGGGUGCCGGGACCGACAGGCAGGAGGGCUGAAGGUCACCGCGGGGAGGCCGGGGGUUGGCGGCCUACGCUCACCAUUCGAGCCGCGUUCGGGGGCCAAAACGAGGGCACGGCAGCGCCACUCAAGCCGGGAGCCGAAGCCGAGGCUGAGGCUGGAGGCCGCACAAGGCGACGCGAGCGCGCGAGGAGCCAGAGUGCUCGGUACAUGGUGCUGAGGCAGCCUGGGUAGAAGUUCUGGGAGGCUGUGGCCACGCCUCCACGCCGGCUGUCAGAAGCCGUUCCGCCCACCGGCCUCCGCUCUCAUCCAAUCAACAGCUUCACACCAACAGGUGGGGAAUGUGAUUGGUGUCCUGCUGUGACGGACAAAGGAACAGUGCAAUGGUUUUCUCUUGCCUCUGUUCUAAAUCUCAUCACCUGGCUGACAAAAUUGAUAGCAAAGCACUCUGGACUCUCAUGUUAUCCUUCAAUUUCUAAAAGUCAUCAGCUGGAUCAUUCUACUCAGAUCUGUUUUCUCCUGCCUAAGCUGAUACAAAAGUUCAUUACCUCUCCCUUCCUCUUCCAACUCAAAGAUCAUCAAAUCCAAAUUAUUCAGAUGUUAUUAUAAAAUGUAACUCUCCACAGACAUGGAAUCAACACAUCAGUGGCAGAUUGGAUAAAGAAAAUAUG